rnacentral:rRNA from 1 species
AUUCUGUAGCAGUGACAUAAGCACAGAUAGAUUGGAUGUGACUGUCGUGGUCAUCCGGCCUUGCCCGUAGGGUGUGCGCCUGGGUUGCCCGCGGCUUUCUUCCGGUAGCCUUCCGCGCUUCGCUGCGUGCGUUGGUGUUCCGGAACUUUUACUUUGAGAAAAAUAGAGUGUUUCAAGCAGGCUUGUCGCCCUGAAUACUGCAGCAUGGAAUAAUAAGAUAGGACCUUGGUUCUAUUUUGUUGGUUUCUAGGACCGAGGUAAUGAUUAAUAGGGACAGUUGGGGGCAUUCGUAUUUAACUGUCAGAGGUGAAAUUCUUAGAUUUGUUAAAGACGAACUACUGCGAAAGCAUUUGCCAAGGAUGUUUUCAUUAAUCAAGAACGA